GCGACGCAGAAGACGGUGAUUUCUGCAUUUCCAUCUGAGGGGAAAGCACAAACAAAAUCCCCCACUACCACAAAUUAUGCAGUUGAGUUUCCCACAUUUGGUGAAAUCACAGGUGUCAGCACAUCCAGAGUGCAAUGGAUAAGACUUGCCAUGGGAAAACCAUCUAUGUGAUCAUGGUAUCUCCCCUGCCAGAUGGAAUCUUGCUCUGUUGCCCAGGCUGGAGUG
rnacentral:lncRNA from 1 species